rnacentral:rRNA from 1 species
AACGAACGCUGGCGGCAUGCCUAACACAUGCAAGUCGAACGAGACCUUCGGGUCUAUUGGCGCACGGGUGCGUAACGCGUGGGAACCUGCCCUUAUGUUCGAAAUAACUCCCCGAAAGGGGUGCUAAUACCGGAUAAUGUCUUCGGACCAAAGAUUUAUCGCCUUUGGUUGGGCCCGCGUUGGAUUAGCUAGUUGGUAAGGUAAAAGCCUACCAAGGCGACGAUCCAUAGCUGGUCUGAGAGGAUGAUCAGCCACACUGGGACUGAGACACGGCCCAGACUGCGACGGGAGGCAGCAGUAGGGAAUCUUCCGGAAUGGGCGAAAGCCUGAGGGAGCAACGCCGCGUGAGUGAUGAAGGUCUUCGGAUCGUAAAACUCUAGGAUUAGGGAAGAACAAAUGUGUAAGUAACUAUGCACGUCUGGACGGUACCUAAUCAGAGAGCCACGGCUAACUACGUG